rnacentral:rRNA from 1 species
AGUCACUGACAUUAGACUACCCCUGUAGUCCCAGCCGUAAACUAUGCGCGUUAGGUGUACUGGUGACCACGAGUCACCGGGGGUGCCGAAGGGAAACCGUGAAACGUGCCGCCUGGGAAGUACGGUCGCAAGGCUAGUAAAACUUAAAGGAAUUGGCGGGGGAGCACCACAACGGGUGGAGCCUGCGGUUUAAUUGGACUCAACGCCGGAAAUCUCACCGGAUAGGACAGACAUAUGAUAGUCGGGCUGAAGACUCUACUUGAUGAUCUG